GACGUUGGCCCUGCUGUGAGCUGGGGUCAGACCAGAGACCCCUGGGACCAACCUGAAUCUGUCUACAACUUUAUAAUUACCUAUAGUAGCUCAAAUAUAAAUAUCUUAUUGUUCUCUUUGACGCCUAUCCUCUAUAGCUUUUCAUUCCCCUUGUCAACUCCUCUUCUGCUCCUUGGAACUGCAAUACUCAAGUACAAGUGAGUUUGGCUCCAGAUUGACCACACAAGCUCCUAUUCCCCAUGGUCACAGGUUUUAGACCCCAACCUUUAUUUUCUUCUUUAGUAUUUCAUCUUUCCCACUCCUCUUGGUUGGGAAGUGCAUUGUUAACCAGCCUCGCCACUGAGACUUCUAGCAUCUUCAGACACAUCCCUUAAAAAUAUGGCUAAUGAAUGCUGAAUUACUCUUCCGUUGGCUUCUCCCCCCUUUACAGCUGAACAGGCAACCUGUCCCAAUGCUGCAAAAAGUACUUAAGUAACUACAGAAGAAAAAGAAAUUUCUUUGGAGUUAAAAGGGAGUCGUUGGGAGCGUCAAUGCAGUAAAUGAAGUCUAUCCCGGCCUAUCACCCAAACAGCCUGCACGUCUUCAAAAUGACACUGAAACAGAGAAAAAUGCUGAAAGCAGCUGCUGUUUCACAAGCUCUCUUUUUAAGGAAGGUACAAAUUCACAGACUAUGAUAUAGAAAGUGCCAAAGAAGGUACGUGGGACGAUGCAUAACGAACAAAUCUCAAAACAGAAGGUCGACUGAAUUCUUGCAUCGGCAAGUGAGCUGAGUUCAACAAAGUGAUGAGGGUAAUGUUGAGCAUAAGAAAGCACGAGAAAAAUGGUGAAAUUGCUCCAAAUGCACACUUAAUGACCAAAGAAAAGGUACCAGAAGAAUCAUGUUUGAAGGCAGAAAGGCUAUGUAGAAGGAGAAGGCAUCUGGACCUCAGGCACAGCUAACACAAAGGGGAAAAACAGAGAUGGAAGUCACAAGGGAAGAAAUUACGAGAGAGAUUUGGACAGAAUGAAAAGUGGAGGGACGGUGCGAAUGGAUAGGAGCUGCCUUGCAGGCCAGCCAGGGAGCCUGAGACAUCA